GGUUUCCAUACAUCUUUGUCGCUGUAGAGCUGGUCACCUGAUUUGCACCCUUCGUCUGUGUGUGAGAGAGGAAAAACCCAAGCACGUCACUCUCAAGGAGGACACAGCCGUGCACCAGCAAUCUUCCUCUGUGCACCAUAUGUGACGAAAUCAAAUCCAGAAGUUUGUGGACACAAGGCCCAGCUCCUCCUCGGUUCCGUCAAAGCCAGAGAAGAGCAGCAACGAUCCUCUGCCAUGUUUCAUCAGGUUUGACCUGAAUCUCAGGUGGAAGAAGUUUCUGGAAGGUGCUGAAGAUGCCACAGUUUGAGACAAUCACAGGUGCAUGGACCUCCACUUCCUCCUGUCCUCUCCUCACUUUCACACCUGUCACAUGACAAAGAAAGACAGCCUCACCUAGGUACAACCUUAA